GAUGGUGAUGAUGUGCCACCGGGGUUUGGCCCAAUGACCAUGGCUCGGGAUGAAGAUGAUGACUUGCCUGAAUU
rnacentral:misc_RNA from 1 species